UAAAAAGUGCAUUCAAGGGGUAACCCCAGCCAAGCUGGCUAAGGAUACAAACUUGUAACCACAAGGUCACGAGUUCGAAUCCCAGCCUUCUUGGUUUGAACCGGUUAGCUAUGGGCAACCUAGGUUGGUUUACCUCCUUGUGGUCCUUUGCCGACUAGAGUCACAAGGCGAGGUUUACCCAGUGCACACCCUCGGGUAGUGGCUGCGGGUUUCCAUUGCCACUCC